UACAGAGGUCUCAAGCGUUGUUCGGGUUCAUUGGGCGUAAAGGGUGCGUAGGCGGCGCGGUAAGUCGGGUGUGAAAUUUCGAGGCUUAACUUCGAAACUGCAUUCGAUACUGCCGUGCUUGAGGACUGGAGAGGAGACUGGAAUUUACGGUGUAGCGGUGAAAUGCGUAGAUAUCGUAAGGAAGACCAGUGGCGAAGGCGGGUCUCUGGACAGUUCCUGACGCUGAGGCACGAAGGCCAGGGGAGCAAACGGG
rnacentral:rRNA from 1 species